rnacentral:rRNA from 1 species
GAUGAACGCUGGCGGCGUGCUUAACACAUGCAAGUCGAACGAUGAAGCCCAGCUUGCUGGGUGGGUUAGUGGCGAACGGGUGAGUAACACGUGAGUAACCUGCCCUUAACUCUGGGAUAAGCCUGGGAAACUGGGUCUAAAACAGGAUAGAAGCGCCCACCGCACGGUGGGGGUUGGAGAGAUUUACCGGUUUUGGAUGGACUCGCGGCCUAUCAGCUUGUUGGUGGGGUAAUGGCUCACCAAGGCGCCGACGGGUAGCCGGCCUGAGAGGGUGACCGGCCACACUGGGACUGAGACACGGCCCAGACUCCUACGGGAGGCAGCAGUGGGGAAUAUUGCACAAUGGGCGCAAGCCUGAUGCAGCGACGCCGCGUGCGGGAUGACGGCCCUCGGGUUGUAAACCUCUUUCAGUAGGGAAGAAGCGAAAGUGACGGUACCUGCAGAAGAAGCACCGGCUAACUACGUG